GUGCUCGCUUCAGCAGUACAUAUACUAAAAUUGGAACGAUACAGAGAAGAUUAGCAUGGCCCCUGUGNNNNNGAGGGUGAGAUGUAUGGAAAGAGUAACUUGGAAACUUACA
rnacentral:snRNA from 1 species